rnacentral:sRNA from 1 species
UCUUGCCCUUACAGGCAAGGCUUUUUUAUAUCGCCCCGUUGGGGCU